UACAGAGGAUGCAAACGUUGCUCGGAGUUACUGGGCGUAAAGCGCGCGCAGGCGGUCUCGUAAGUCGGGUGUGAAAGCCCCGGGCUCAACCCGGGAAGUGCACUCGAUACUGCGAGACUGGAGUACUGGAGAGGAGAGCGGAAUUCUCGGUGUAGAGGUGAAAUUCGUAGAUAUCGGGAGGAACACCAGCGGCGAAGGCGGCUCUCUGGACAGAUACUGACGCUGAGGCGCGAAAGCGUGGGAAGCAAACAGG
rnacentral:rRNA from 1 species